UACGGAGGGGGGCUAGCGUUGUUCGGAAUUACUGGGCGUAAAGCGCACGUAGGCGGCUUUGUAAGUUAGAGGUGAAAGCCCGGGGCUCAACUCCGGAAUUGCCUUUAAGACUGCAUCGCUAGAAUUGUGGAGAGGUGAGUGGAAUUCCGAGUGUAGAGGUGAAAUUCGUAGAUAUUCGGAAGAACACCAGUGGCGAAGGCGACUCACUGGACACAUAUUGACGCUGAGGUGCGAAAGCUAGGGGAGCAAACAGG
rnacentral:rRNA from 1 species